rnacentral:rRNA from 1 species
AUGACGAAGGGGGCUAGCGUUGCUCGGAAUUAAGCUGGGCGUAAAGCGCACGUGAGGCGGGUCGUUAAGUCGGGGUGAAAUCCUGGAGCUCAACUCCAGAACUGUCCUCGAAACUGGCGGAUCUUGAGUUCGGGAGAGGUGAGUGGAACUGCGAAGUGUAGAGGUGAAAUUCGUAGAUAUUCGCGAAGAACACCAGUCGGCGAAGGCGGCUCACUGGCCCGAUAACUGACGGCGUGAGGUGGC